rnacentral:rRNA from 1 species
AUUGAACGCUGGCGGCAGGCCUAACACAUGCAAGUCGAACGGUAACAGGAAGAAGCUUGCUUCUUUGCUGACGAGUGGCGGACGGGUGAGUAAUGUCUGGGAAACUGCCUGAUGGAGGGGGAUAACUACUGGAAACGGUAGCUAAUACCGCAUAACGUCGCAAGACCAAAGAGGGGGACCUUCUGGCCUCUUGCCAUCGUAUGUGCCCAGAUGGGAUUAGCUAGUAGGUGGGGUAACGGCUCACCUAGGCGACGAUCCCUAGCUGGUCUGAGAGGAUGACCAGCCACACUGGAACUGAGACACGGUCCAGACUCCUACGGGAGGCAGCAGUGGGGAAUAUUGCACAAUGGGCGCAAGCCUGAUGCAGCCAUGCCGCGUGUAUGAAGAAGGCCUUCGGGUUGUAAAGUACUUUCAGCGGGGAGGAAGGGAGUAAAGUUAAUACCUUUGCUCAUUGACGUUACCCGCAGAAGAAGCACCGGCUAACUCCGUG